rnacentral:rRNA from 1 species
GUGCCAGCAGCCGCGGUAAUACGUAGGGGGCAAGCGUUGUCCGGAUUUAUUGGGCGUAAAGAGCGUGUAGGCGGCUAGGUAGGUCCGCUGUUAAAACUCGAGGCUUAACCUCGAGAGGUCGGUGGAAACCAUCUGGCUAGAGUCCGGAAGAGGAGAGUGGAAUUCCUGGUGUAGCGGUGAAAUGCGCAGAUAUCAGGAAGAACACCCGUGGCGAAGGCGGCUCUCUGGGACGGUACUGACGCUGAGACGCGAAAGCGUGGGGAGCGAACAGGAUUAGAUACCCCAGUAGUCC